AAAUUAAAUGUACUAAAAUAAUAGUGACAAAAAUAGAAGAUAUAAUGAAGUCACCAUAUCCGAAACCACAAACCUAUUAAAUAAAAGAGCACUUCAUAGCAUUAAAUCAUUAUUUUUCUUGUGUACUGGUGUUUGUAAAUAUGAGGUACUUACUCGUUCUUCUUGUACUUAUAUUUGUUGUUGUUCAAACUUCCCUCCCCGUUGAAGCUUCACAACGCCGUUUACGUCAUAGAAACAAUGCAUAUCGAAGUAAACCUAAAGAUAGUUGGGAGAACUUCUUCAGAGGCUUCUGGAACACCACCAAGAAAAACAUAUCUAAAGAUCGCAAGAGACAUAAAUCGACAACAGAAAGAGCUGCAGAAUAUCCAAUAGAAUCAUCUUUUAAUGCUGAUCAAAAUCUAAAUCCUUACGGUCUAGAUAUGAAUUAUAAUUAAUUAAUAAUAUUUAUCACUAUAAU